UACGAAGGUGGCAAGCGUUACUCGGAAUUACUAGGCGUAAAGGGCAGGUAGGUGGUUUGAUAAGUCUAUUGUGAAAGCUCCCGGCUCAACUGGGAGAGGCCAACAGAAACUAUCAGACUUGAGUAUGGGAGAGGGUACUGGAAUUCCCGGUGUAGCGGUGAAAUGCGCAGAGAUCGGGAGGAACACCAAUGGCGAAAGCAGGUACCUGGACCAUUACUGACACUCAGCUGCGAAAGCUAGGGGAGCAAAC
rnacentral:rRNA from 1 species